AAUCAGGUGGCCGAGUGCUUAAGGCGUUGGACUGCUAAUCCAAUGGGCUCUGCCCGCGUGAGUUCGAAUCUCAUCCUGAUCG
rnacentral:tRNA from 1 species